CAACCCUGCAAUAGAAGGCAAUCAAUGUUUAACAUCCCUCAUUUAAGAGUAAUAAAAAUCCUAAUUGUAAUAACAUAAACAUAACAUAAUAAGCUUGCUAGUGUGAAAAGUGGAACUUCCAUAAAGUAAUGGUAUUUUCCCACGUCAUAAAGAUUUACAUGAAAUAUACACCACAGCUUUACCAUCAGAAACAAAACCUAACUUGAUAAUCAGAUAAUUAGAAUGAGAUCAUGUAAAUCAGCCCACCCCACUCAUUACGGAAAAGCAAUGAAGCUGGCAGUUCUGAUUUCACUGAUCACUGAAGCUUAGAUGAAGUUUUCAGUACGGGGGGUUUACAGUGAUAAAAGUAACAAUACCGAUUUUCUGUGUUAAUUCCCAAGUGGGCAGUUUGUGCUGUGUUUGUUAGCACGUUAUUACGUUCCACGUUAUUGGUGUACUAUAUGAGCCAAGCACAUUUCCUGGUAUAAGAGAUGAGAGCUUCUGCUGAAUGCACAGUAUCCCUGUCUGUACGAGGCGUUUCCUGCAUUUAAAGUACUUGCAGUUUCUCCCUGGGCGUUUUCAGCUCCGAAGCACUGCCUAUUUUUUUUUCUGAAUGAGUGUCCUUUGUGUAACCUCACUAAUUCAGAACUUCUUUGAUUCAGAAGGGACUGCCCUUCUUUUCUUUUUUUUUUUUUUUACCCCACAGCAUGUGAUUGGUCAGCUGCUAAUUGGCGGUACUCUAUAAGACUCCAAGAACUUGAGUCCUACUAAGCUUUCUCAUAGCUGCCUUUCUGAAACACUGUUCAAGCAAAGCUGGAUGGCAGUCGGGAGCCUGUAAAUAUGGUUUUCUUUCUCUCUGGAUUUAUCAAUGCCACUGAUAGAAAGCAAAUACAUUUGGAAGGACCAAGGGACUGGGAUUUAGGACUUUUGAGUCAUCCUUAGGAUUUUGUGCUUCGCUAAACGAUGAAGACUAUGUCUCGUUUUCUUUCCCUGAGAAACAUGUGUGAAUGCAUGUGCUCAUCGUUAUUGCUUUAAAGUAGGAUUGGAUUUCCUAACAAAACCAGAGGAUGUUACUCAGCUCUAUAAAUUAUGUCUGUUUUCUGUCCCCUCUAGUGUUCAAGAAAGAGUUUUAACAGACGCGGAAUUUCCCAAAAUUAAAUCAGUUUUAGAGGUAUGAUGAAGACCGUAAGAGUGACAUUAAGAACAAAUCCUCUUGUGUUGUUUCUGCAGCCCUGGGGGAGUAAAGAAAACAGCCUGUUAGUAUCACUGAAUCAAAUGACGAUUUGCGAAGUCAAAUGCUGCGUAAACUAAUGACAUGACCAUGUGCGAUCUUAUGCUGCAAGAAGCUGGUUUAGAAUCUGUGAAGACAAACAAUUUUAGUGGUGUUGGUCGCUCAGUAACCAGUGUAGAUCCUGUUUUAGAUUUCAGCAGCUACAUCUGGCUACUGGGUCUCUGACACUACUGCCUAUAGCACAUCUUAUUCUUGUAAAAGAGGAGAGACACGCUUUUUCUUCUGCGGAAAAUCAAAGAUCCACACUACUACCAUUUCUGUUGCAUUUCUCUGUUCAAAUCUCAAGUUAUUUUAGAUGAAAGUGUAUGAAAACCCUAACAGUGAUCUUCUGCUAUUGCUACCUUUUGUUCAGUUGUAUACCAUGGACAGAAAUGAUCUGUUCCAUACAAACAAAAAAUACCUUUUGGUCCUGCCAUAAAUCCAGUGUGACUACUGUAGCAAGCUGACAAUGGUUCUCAGAAAUCUCAAACAUUGUUAUUUAUCCUCCCUUCUUGAGUUCCCUAUGUGCAUUACAUAAGCUCUCCCCCAUGUCCUUCAGUGCAUGACCGCUGUCAUCCUAGUACAGGAAGUGUUGCUAGUAGAAUCACCAAGUGAAAAAAAUAAAUUAUUCUGCCACCACAUCUAAAGACUGGCAAGCUGCAAUACCUUUGUUCUAGGGUUUAUAUACACUUAUACAAUUUACAGUGCCAGGCCUGGUGUAUAUUCCAAAUAUUAAUACCCAAAAAUGAUGACAAUUCAAAUCCCACACAUACAAUUGUGUACAAUUAAAAGUAAAAAUACUCUAUAAGUGACUGCGUGGUAUUUUCAGUUUGCUUUUGCCAAAUAGUGGAAAAAAGUUUUCUUCCAGCUUUUGACUUGGAAUUUUCACAUGCAAUUUGGAGCAUCGUUAUUGAGAUGAUGUUGCUUACAGUUCAGUACAGCUCUGCUUAGUGUUUAGAGCCCAUUCAGGCACUUUUUCAUGACUGACCAUGGAUUCAUAGAUAUUAGUUAUUAAAGUUGAAUGCCUGGAAGAUAUAAAAACACAACCAAUUCAUAAAGUUUCAUAUGCAUUAGAAUUCAUUCAAUUCAAUUUUCACGGCAAAUAGUGUAAGUAUCAGUGAUCAGCCUUAUUUAGAUCCUUGUUCAAUAGAACUGGGAGAGGCGAGCUGCAUGCAAAUAUACACAAGGACCAUGUUGUCAGAAGGAGAGAGCAGUCUGAUGAGUUUAUUAGUUUACUGCUGUUCCUUCAAAGUACAGUCUGGGCUGUGAAAAUGUCAAGACUGGUUGGACAGAAAUUCUAAUUUUUAGAAGGUAAAACAGUACCUUUUAAAUGGCUAUAGGUUGAAGGGACCAUCAGUGAACUCAAAUGUAGGCAAGUGAUGUAGGACAACACAACCCAUGUUGGUAAUGACACUGUUAUUCUUUAAGCCGUUAUGGUGGACCAGAAGCUAUUCUUGGCCAUAUGCUAGUGCAAUAAGUGAACAACAGAGCAGCAGAGAUCAUAUCCACAUCCUUUAACUGUCUUUUUUAGUGAGAAAAUGUUGUUCUUUUUGUCUACUGGAUAUUUUUACAGAAAAGUUAUAAUUUGUUUUUUAUUAUAAGAAUAACAGAAAAUAUUCCAGAUAAAAAAAUCCAUACAUAUGGUUGAAGCCAUGCUUUGUUAUAUUAGCAACAUGCGUGAGAAAAACUGACUUAAAUGUUGAAGUAGUCCAGAUUUUGCAUGCACCUGGCACACAAUGUAGAAACCUGUGUUUGUGAAGCAACAGCUACAUUGUCUGCUGGGUUUCAGGCUCAAUGGACAUAUCUCCCCGAUGACAAUAAUUGAAAAAGAACAUGCUGGUAAGUAUGUUUUAUUGCAUUUUAUGUUUAUGUGAAAUCUGUAUUUAUUUUUUUUGUUAUAUGUUAUGCCUGUUUUUACUUGGAAAUAGAUGUUAACACAUGCAAAUAAAAAAUUGAAUGCAA